AACGAACGCUGGCGGCAUGCCUAACACAUGCAAGUCGAACGAGACCUCCGGGUCUAGUGGCGCACGGGUGCGUAACGCGUGGGAACCUGCCCUUAGGUUCGGAAUAACUCCCCGAAAGGGGUGCUAAUACCGGAUAAUGUCUUCGGACCAAAGAUUUAUCGCCUCUGGAUGGGCCCGCGUUGGAUUAGCUAGUUGGUAGGGUAAAAGCCUACCAAGGCGUCGAUCCAUAGCUGGUCUGAGAGGAUGAUCAGCCACACUGGGACUGAGACACGGCCCAGACUCCUACGCAAGGCAGCAGUGGGGAAUAUUGGACAGUGGGCGAAAGCCUGAUCCAGCAAUGCCGGGUGAGUGAUGAAGGCCUUAGGGUUGUAAAGCUCUUUUACCCGGGAUGAUAAUGACAGUACCGGGAGAAUAAGCUCCGGCUAACUCCGUG
rnacentral:rRNA from 1 species